CGCAGCAGGCGCGAAAACUUUACAAUGCGGGCAACCGUGAUAAGGGAACCUCGAGUGCCUGUAAAUGCAGGCUGUUCAGAUGCCUAAAACACAUCUGGAGAAAGGGCCGGGCAAGACCGGUGCCAGCCGCCGCGGUAAUACCGGCGGCUCGAGUGGUGGCCACUUUUAUUGGGCUUAAAGCGUUCGUAGCUGGGUUGUUAAGUCUCUUGGGAAAUCUGGCGGCUUUACCGUCAGGCGUCUAAGGGAUACUGGCAAUCUUGGAACCGGGAGAGGUGAGGGGUACUUCGGGGGUAGGAGUGAAAUCCUGUAAUCCUCGAGGGACCACCUGUGGCGAAGGCGCCUCACCAGAACGGCUUCGACAGUGAGGGACGAAAGCUGGGGGAGCAAACCGGAUUAGAUACCCGGGUAGUCCCAGCCGUAAACUAUGCGCGUUAGGUGUAUCGGUGACCACGAGUUACCGAGGUGCCGAAGGGAAACCGUGAAACGUGCCGCCUGGGAAGUACGGUCGCAAGGCUGAAACUUAAAGGAAUUGGCGGGGGAGCACCACAACAGGUGGAGCCUGCGGUUUAAUUGGACUCAACGCCGGGAAGCUCACCGGAUAGG
rnacentral:rRNA from 1 species